CAAAACAAAAUUCCCAGGGCGGUUGAAAUAUGUGUUUGUGAUGUACUGUUUGGUGGUGGGUGUGUGCUUGUUACCAUGUGGGGUGUAGGUGGUGGUUUGUGUGGGGUGUAGGUGGUGGUUUCUCCACAGGUCUUCGGCGACUGGGCGUGGCGACUGUGCGAGGCAACUGCGCGCGGCACUGCGCGUGGCGACUGUGCGAGGCGACUGCGCGCGGCCACUGCACGCAGCCACUGCGCUGCGACUAAUCGGAGUUUUGACUGGUGCUCUGAUUGAGGUGCGGGGUAAACCCAGUUAAUCGGGGUUGGACUGGUGCCCGAUUGAGGUGCGAGGUAAACCCAGUUAAUCGGAGUUUUGACUGGUGCUCCGAUUGAGGUGCGGGGCAAACCCAGUUAAUCGGAGUUUUGACUGGUGCUCCGAUUGAGGUGCGGGGUAAACCCAGUUAAUCGGAGUUUUGACUGGUGCUCCGAUUGAGGUGCGGGGCAAACCCAGUUAAUCGGGGUUGGACUGGUGCCCGAUUGAGGUGCGAGGCAAACCCAGUUGCAAGGGACGGGUUGCGUCACCGUGGGGACGUGGGUCCUACGCAGCGGCCUGGAAACCCUAGGAUGCCGUGCCUUAAAGGAGCAGGUAGUGCGUCCCUCUUUAUAGGGGCGUGGCCCUGUAUUCACAGCCGGCAAACGCUGCUACUUCCUAUCAGACCGCAUGAACCCGUAAUGGGGGAUGGACUUAGGGGGGCACGCAUAUAGGUUAGGGUAUAACCUUCCUGAUCCUUCGGGGUUGGGGGGGUGGACCGGACAGUCGGCAACUGUGCCUGGCCCUCCGGGGCCGGCCUUUUGCCCAGCGAUGGACCCUUCGAUACUGAAAGCGUGUUUGGGGCUGGUAUCCUGGGACCUUCACGUGGUGGCCCUGUUCAAACUAGCCUUACCAGGAUAUGCUUCCAGAAGGUUUACACCUAAAAAUGAGGUACAAGCUACCACAGAUGAGAAGCUUACUGGAGACAAGAAGGAAAGUAGCGAUGAACCAACGACUUCAGGGGAAUCCGAUCGUCCAAUCCGGCUGAAAUUACGGUACAAACUACCACAGAUGAGAAGCUUACUGGAGACAACAAGGAAAGUAGCGAUGAAUCAACAACUUCAGGGGAAUCCGAUCCUCCAAUCCAAGGAGAUGGGGUUGAAUUAUUCUAUCAACGAAAAUGACAACCAGCUGAUGAUGUCUGGCAGGAACCCCAUCUACUCAACUCCAUCCUUCAUGCAACGGACAACUGGUCAUACCUUGGUCACAUGAGGGCAGCAUAUAUGUGCAGUCUCAGAAUUAUGAGCGGGCCGACCUGAUAGGAGGAACUUUUUCCCUCUGGAAAUUCAUCAAAAGCCUGUUAUCAGAACCACAAGAAGAGGAACACGUGUUUCAGGUUUUCCUGCUCUUACCAAGAAGAUGUUGCUCUUGAUGCUCGAAUGCCCUGAAACUGCACCACGUUGUGAUGACAUCAAACAUCAGACAAAGUACAUCCAAGGUGCCUUGGGCCUAUUUAGAAUGUACUAGGCUGUAAAUGAGUUAAAAAGGUUAUAUGGGCAAUUCCAUGCUGGUGGAGACACGUAUAUAAGCCAAAAUAAAUUUAAAGUUUGUUCGAGUUCCAUUUACCGAAGUGACACAAUAAUGCUUGGCGCUUUUAAAACUGAAAUAGUUUCUUCCCAUGCGCGCACUAUUUUGUGAGUUACGGUACACCAUCACAACAAAGUCUGCAGUGACGUCCUGAUGACUUAUGGUAAGGAAUUUUGAGUUAAUCUUUUGCAACCUAUUCAGUCAUAUUUUUCAUCAAUUUUGUUGUAUUACCGUUUUGAGAGGUCUUUGUUAAAAUGGACAUUAUUUUUAGUUGUAAUUUUUAGUCAGAUUUUGCUUGUAAAAUGAAAUACAAACUUUGUUUAUUAUCAAUCACUAAAAGUGAUUUGUUUUCUUUGUAAAUACAUGGACCAGUGAACUGUUCUGAUAAAUUUUUCUUGGCAUGAUUUCUAGGAAGUCUAGUAAAUUAAUUGAUUUUUAUUUGCUUGUUUGUUUUAAUGCUUAGGCCAGCCAUGAAAUAUUGUAAUGUCGGCCACAUGUAAUGUCAUGCAGUUACAAUCUCGUAGCGUAAUUUAGUGUCAGUCACAUUAUUGCAAAGUCCGUAGUUGAGGAGAAUACAAGUACACAUGUUAUUUAAGUCCAUACACAUACAAGAAGUAACCAUUUGGAACCAAAAUGCAACUGAGUGCCAAGCCACUGUCUGAGUAGCUUAUGUAGUUUUCACAAAACAACUCCUUUUUUUGUAUUUAGACAUCUAUAUGCCUUUUAUAAUAUGAAAAAUAUAUUUGUGUUGCUUUUGGGUACAAGUAGUCUGUUAUUUGCCAUUCUGAUAGGGAGGGGUGGGGGAGUCUUCCCUGUGAGCACUGAAUUAUUAUUUGUCACCAAAUAUUUUAAUAUUCAUAAUUCCCUGUUACUAAAUGUUGCCAGAUUUUUAUUCAUCCUUUUUGUUGUUUGUUCACUGGAUAACUUUGGUAUUGCUAGAAAAAUAACAAUAAAAAUUGUGUUAGUAUAAACAUGUACAAAAUACAAAUAAUUUUGUUGAUUUUUUUUAGAUUCAGGAAAGAUAUACACCCAAGUAGCAACGUAAUUCACAGCAGCACAGAGAAGGACACAGCAGAAACAAAACUUGGAAGAAAAGGAUUGUAUGAAGACCACAAGAGGAACAAAUGAAAGAGGAAUAGACAGAAAAGAGCAGAACAUGAGGAGUUUCACUUAAGUGUACAUGAUUACAAAUUUGAGAAAAAAGUAGUUAAAAAAUUUAGCAUGAAAUUUGUUUAGCAUGUUGAGACCUCAAAUUGUUAUUAGCAAAGAAAUAAAUGUAGAUGACUUGUAUUAAAUAUGCAAGUCUAUUCACACAGUUAUUGUUAAUGGAGACAACAUUUAAUAUUGUAAGGUCAUUUUUGAGAAAAUUCUUUCCUCAUCUGCUUUAUGUUCAUUUAUUUUUGAGGUGCUGAUUGUAUAAGUUGUUAUUAUGUGUUUUGUAAAACUACAUUCUUUGAUCCUGAGAAAUUAUUUUCUUGUUGCCAAUAGUCACUGUUAGAAAUAAAAUAAAAUAAAACCUGAAUCUCAGCAGAAAUGUUUCGAUGCGUAAUAUCAGUCGCAGUAAUGUCUGUCACAGUCAUUUUAAAAAGUUAAUUUUCCAACUUGCUUGUAAACACUAUCUACUGGCUAUGAUCAAUAAAUGGAAUAUUGUAUCCGUUGCACCUUUACCUUGAAUGAAGAGAAAUUUCAGAUUUGUUCUGUCAUUUGUUUCCUGCGUUGCUUUUAUGUAAUGUGAGUCACGAUAAAGUGUCCCGAUGAGGACAACAGAAAAGAUCAGUGCGUUAGUAAAUUGCAAGAUACAUUUAGGCCAACUAUACUGCUCGUGCAAACCUAACUUACGCUGGAUUCACUGGUUAUUUUUCUGGAACAAAAUUAGCUGCCCUUACAGGUUGUAAAAAUGUAAAAAUUCUUUUAGCAUCUAGAAAACAAUAAUACAUAUCAGUGAGGAAUUCAUGUCGCAAAAAUUCUUUUAAAAAUUCACCAAAGACCUUAAAAAGUUCAGUCUUAAGAGCAUCCAAUUCCAAUUGCAAUCCGACAUGUCUGGAAUUUCAUAAAAUUAGAUAAGAAUGAAAAGUUGAUCUAAUUAUUGAAAUAGAAGAAUGGUUUUAACGAAAAAGACGGAAAUUUAUACGGAAUUAUUUCUAUUACGUUAACGGAUAUGGUGUCACUUUCGCGUAUCACAUACAAGACGAAUUGCGCAUAAACCGAUUUUAAAUAAAAUUGAUGGGGAUAGAAUCUAUUAUAAAAUUGAUACGUGAUUAACUUCAAACCCGCCAAAACUCUUUGUCUGUCGCCAUGGAAUUGCCCAUAUACUUGGUAAAACUGUAGAUUUUCUGGUUGCCCAAAUAACUGGGCCUUAUUGUAUUUCUGAUUAUUUAUGUAUUUAUUAUUUAUGUAAAUUUUAAAGUGCAACCCAUGCAAAGUACUUACUACCAGGCCAUAUUCAUGUAUUACAAUUUGCAGAACAACCCAAUCAGUCAAUUUAAUAGUGAAAUGAAACAAUAAGCAUUAAAACAUAGUGAACAAUUGAGAUUUUUGUUUGUAUGUUAAUGAAUAUUGGUGUUUAUUAAACUUAAAGUUGGGGACUCUUAUUUUGGCUUUAAAAAAAGCGAGGAGUGCCCUCUAUUGCCCAUGAAUUACAAACAAUUGUUUAAUUAUAAGAAUUAAUGUAUGAUUUCCAAAUAAAAAGUAGUUUAAACAUGAUUCAUAGAAGCGCUUUGUUACAAGGUGUAAGAUAAGGUUUACAUGAAUGAAAUGAAAUUAUGAGACCAAUUUUGUGCAAUGUAAAAGAUGUCAUCAAACAAGCAAGUUGAACAUUAGUAACUUAGUCACAAUAGGUCACUGAAACUUUGUCUUUUUGUAAAGUGAAAUGUGUGAUAUUAGAUUUCCUAUAUGAAAAAAGUCUGAGAAGGAGAAUCAAUGUUUGUAAGGAAACAAGAUCUGUAAAUAUCUGAUUAGAGCUCUAUAAUUAAUUUGCAUAGAAUCAAGCCAGAUAGACACAACUAAAAUAUUGGACUGUAGAGGGCAGUAUUCAUAUAUUAUGUGUAACCUAUUUGCAAUCAGUGUUUCACUUAUUUAACUUUAGUUGUACUAGAAAUUAUUCAUGAAAUAUGGUGUUAACUUAAUUAUUUAGCUUUAGUUGUACUUCAAAUUAUUUGUGACAAGGUGUCACUCUAUAUUGGAAUGGGUAUUUUUCUUUGUAAAGUGGAUACAACUUUUAGAAUUUGAAUUAAAAAGUAAAAAAAAUAUUAUAAGAUGCUGUAGGCAAAACUAAAUGACAAAGGGGCCCUCCAGUAAAAGCUAGAUUGCUAACUUAAAAAAAACCCUCUCAUUUUCACAUUCAAGCAAAAGUUUGUCAUUUUAUAGUAAACAAAUAUGGCCAAUUCUCCCCCCCCCAAAAAAAGUGCAAAGUUUGAACAAAGAACUUCCCACUAAAAUGUUAAGCAUUAAGUGACGCAUUUAGAUUCUCAUAUAAAAAGGGAAGUAAAUUUAUAUCGACAAUUAUUACAUUACAAAUUGUAAACUAAUUUAGAAAAAAAACCUAAUUUAACUAAUUACAUUUGUAAAUGGUGUACAUACAGUAGAAAGUAUAUUGAAUAAAUGUCUAAAUUUGAGAAGCAGAA